rnacentral:rRNA from 1 species
GGGUCAGUAGGUUGGUCGUGCCACCGGUACGUACUGUUCUCACUGAUUCCUCCUUCCUGAAGAACGGUAAUGCCAUUAAUUUGGUGUUGCGGGGAAACAGGACUGUUACUUUGAAUAAAUUAGAGUGUUUAAAGCAAGCUAACGCUUGAAUACAUUAGGAUGGAAUAAUGAAAUAGGACGAUCGAUCCUAUUUUGUUGGUUUCUAGGAUUGACGUA